UGGGGAAUAUUGGACAAUGGGGGCAACCCUGAUCCAGCCAUGCCGCGUGAGUGAUGAAGGCCUUAGGGUUGUAAAGCUCUUUCGACGGGGAAGAUAAUGACGGUACCCGUAGAAGAAGCCCCGGCUAACUUCGUGCCAGCAGCCGCGGUAAUACGAAGGGGGCUAGCGUUGCUCGGAUUUACUGGGCGUAAAGCGCACGUAGGCGGGUCGUUAAGUCGGGGGUGAAAUCCGGGAGCUCAACUCCGGAACUGCCUUCGAUACUGGCGAUCUCGAGUCCGGGAGAGGUGAGUGGAACUCCGAGUGUAGAGGUGAAAUUCGUAGAUAUUCGGAAGAACACCAGUGGCGAAGGCGGCUCACUGGCCCGGUACUGACGCUGAGGUGCGAAAGCGUGGGGAGCAAACAG
rnacentral:rRNA from 1 species